GACGAACGCUGGCGGCGUGCUUAACACAUGCAAGUCGAACGGUGAAGCGCCUUCCUUUUUGGUGGGUGUGGAUGGGUGGCGAACGGGUGAGUAACACGUGAGUAACCUGCCCCCUUCUUCUGGAUAACCGCAUGAAAGUGUGGCUAAUACGGGAUAUUCUGGGUCUGUCGCAUGAUGGGUCUGGGAAAGAUAUUGUUUCGGUGGGGGAUGGGCUCGCGGCCUAUCAGCUUGUUGGUGGGGUGAUGGCCUACCAAGGCGGUGACGGGUAGCCGGCCUGAGAGGGUGGACGGUCACACUGGGACUGAGACACGGCCCAGACUCCGACGGGAGGCAGCAGUGGGGAAUAGGGCACAAUGGGCGCAAGCCUGAUGCAGCGACGCCGCGUGAGGGAUGGAGGCCUGCGGGUUGUGAACCUCUUUCGCCAGUGAAGCAGGCCUGCCUCGUUUGUGGGUGGGUUGACGGUAGCUGGAUAAGAAGCGCCGGCUAACUACGUG
rnacentral:rRNA from 1 species